UACGAAGGGGGCUAGCGUUGCUCGGAAUCACUGGGCGUAAAGCGCACGUAGGCGGAUCUUUAAGUCAGGGGUGAAAUCCUGGAGCUCAACUCCAGAACUGCCUUUGAUACUGGGGAUCUCGAGUCCGGGAGAGGUGAGUGGAGCUGCGAGUGUAGAGGUGAAAUUCGUAGAUAUUCGCAAGAACACCAGUGGCGAAGGCGGCUCACUGGCCCGGUACUGACGCUGAGGUGCGAAAGCGUGGGGAGCAAACAGG
rnacentral:rRNA from 1 species